ensembl:lncRNA
UUUGAGAUUACAGUCAUUCAACUUGAAAAGCUAAAAUUUUGCAUUUGUAUCAGCUGCUUCUUUCCCCUUUUGUGACUGGGGAACGGCUAAGCUUGUUGCUGUAAAUAAAUGGGCACUAGGAUGUUUCUAAAAAAUACACAUGGCUCAACAUUAGACUCCUUCCGCUUUGUGGUCUCACAUGUCUGACCACAGGGACUAUUUUUAAUCCUGGCCUCUGCUUUUUAGCGGCAUCUAACUCCACACAGAAGAGUCAUCACCCUUAUCAAGACGCAGAGAUGUGUGACGUGUUUGCUUACCUUGUACUUCUUUGUUUUUUUUUAAAUUAAUCCUUGUGACUUGUGUUUCUACCCUGGGAAUUUUGAAAACAAUCUGAUCACCUUGCUUCACUGAGAUUAUUACAGAGAAGACAGCUUUGACACAUCCGUCUCCGGGAAGUCAGAAGCAAUCUCUGACCCAAAUAAACGUCCGACACUCUGAGUCCAGUCUCCUGGUCAGAGUGUCAUCAACUUCUCUCUUCACGUGUGCAUGCAGAAAGGACAAGUCCCGGAAUACAGGAGGGCUGGGAGAAGUCAGCAUCCUCAAGUGACUGCAGGCCACAGAAGGUCAGUGGCCCAUGAAGUGCUAAGGGCUGGGAUACGACAAAGAAGGACAUGGAAAGGGCCUCACCUUGUUGGGCCAAUUUUCCAGUGGGAGAAACUGAUGACAACAGAGAGGAAGAGGGAGGAAGGAAAAGUGUGGACGCAAAGACAGGAAGGAAGAAAGAAGAAACCUAAGAACAUAAGCAACCAAGGGAGACAACCGCAGCAGGUGCUCAAAUGGGGAAAUGACGGGAUUAAAGGCAAAGCGAGAACGGGGGCAGAGAGGGUGGCUCGGGGCAAGUCCCUGCGAUGCGAGAGCCUGGCACCGGAGGAGCGUGCCGAGCUGUGUGCUUAUGGGAGGACAUUUCUGGGAGAACCAGGAGCAAGGGCCUGGGCCCACCCUGUCAAGAGGUUCCAACGGCAGGCAGCGGGGAGGAAUAUCACCGACUCUCCGUGGUACGGGAUCCAGGUGCGGAGGAAGGUGCUGGGUUGAUUCUGAGAAAGCAGCACAUGGGCCGGGGACUCCCCACACCCGACAGACACAAAAGCCGCAGAGAAGAGCACCCGGGGUCUCCAGGCAGCAGGGCUCCAGAAGCUCCAGCCCCAGCCGGAGUCGCGGGCAACUCGGGAAGAGCUGCAGAGUUGGACGGGAAAGACCUUGCAGCCAGAGAUGAGAACUCAGCAGGCACCUGCUUGCAACACCUGGGGACCAGCCAGGAGUGGGGAUGCUAGGCCAUCGGCGUGGCUGGCCCACCGAGGACCAGAGGGCAGUGUGAGGGAUGCCAGGAUGGACAGAGGACAGAACUUAGGACCGGGUGGUCCCUUCUGCUAAAAACAAGAGAACAAAACCCAAUGGAGUUGCUUAGGCUAAGCCCCACGUCACCACAUGGAGACUUCAUUAGUUUCGGCUCUCCCAGAAAUGGAAUCUUAACCCAGGCCAUCAGGAUCCACCUGAUCAGCCCCAGGAAUAGCCCCCACCAUCACUUAAAGGAAAGUGACGGUGCCAUCACCAGUCCCCACCGUUUUGCAAAGAUACUUCCCCUGUUCCUGCUCCCUCUGCCUCAACGUCUUUCCCGUCUUUGCCGUGGUCCAGCUCGCUGCAGCGCCUCUCUGCCUUCUAGAUCAGAUGCUGCCCAAUCCGAGUCAGCACGGGCUCAAAUAAACUCUUAAAAUUUGUAGUAUGUCUCAGUUUAUUUUUUUAACGGUCCCUACCCUCAUGCGACAGUUCAAUGAACUUCCAGAACAGCCAGAGAUUCUGACAUCACAUUAGAGGCCAUGAGAAAUUCCAUGUCUUGAAUACAUGAGCUAAGGGAUUGAAAUCCACAUUGAUUCAACUGUGGAGCGUUGUGAGAAUGCAAAUAUAUAUAUUUCUAGACAGAUACGAAAUACACCCUGGG